rnacentral:lncRNA from 1 species
UUUUGAUUUGGGUGAGUGGCUGCUCUGACUGCGUGGAGAUCUGCCUGGGCAUCAAGCAGAGAAGGCCUCAAUCCACCACUAUCUCUGCACAGGAAGGGUUAGGAAACUCAGGCUGCUGGUCCGGGCAAGCAGUUGCUCCAAAUGCAUGGAGUUCUGCCUGGAUGUGGAGUGAAGAGGCCCCCCUGCAUCAGGAUCUCUACACAGGAAGGAUGGCCGUAGCUCAGGCUGCUGAACCAGAACAGAAAUUGUCUUGUCAUUCUGUGUCCCUUGGGACUCCUAUUAUUACUGGCAGAUGCAAAUUUUGAUGAUUACAUUUUCUAAAUCCAUGAUUAAACUUCUCUGCCAUGGCGCAAACAGAAUGCAAAAGAAGUCCAUAUCUAGAGAAAUCCUGGUGGAAUUUUUCAAACUUCUAUGACAAAAAAAAGUCCGAUGAGUUUCUAGAUUUUAAAAAGUACUAAAUUACUUUUUAAAAAAUCAACUUUACAAACAACAUGAAAACAGAAUGUUUAAGAGGAAAAAUUAUGUGUAGCUUAUAAUAAUAAUUAUAUCCCAGUUUUCCUUACUUUACUGGAGUACAGAGAAAUGACUUUUUAAAAAGGUAUACAAGUUUUAUUAAAUAAAAGUCAAUGUGAGCUUCUUAAUAUUACCAUUCUGACUUAACAACAAUUGUAUUUAUAAGAAAUAUGUA